GAUUAACGCUGGCGGCGUGCCUAACACAUGCAAGUCGAACGAGGUAGCAAUACCUAGUGGCAGACGGGUGAGUAACGCGUGGUCAACCUACCGUUGAGUGGGGGAUAACUAGCCGAAGGUUAGCUAAUACCGCAUACGUCUCCGAGUGGCAUCACUUGGCGAUAAAAGGAAGCAAUCCGCUCGAUGACGGGACCGCGUCCCAUUAGCUAGAUGGUGGGGUAACGGCCUACCAUGGCACCGAUGGGUAGCUGGUUUGAGAGAGCGACCAGCCACACUGGGACUGAGAAACGGCCCAGACUCCUACGGGAGGGCAGCAGUGAGGAAUUUUCCGCAAUGGGCGCAAGCCUGACGGAGCGACGCCGCGUGUGGGAAGAAGGCC
rnacentral:rRNA from 1 species